rnacentral:rRNA from 1 species
UACGUAGGAUGCAAGCGUUGUCCGGAAUUAUUGGGCGUAAAGAGUUCGUAGGUGGUUAUCUAAGUCUGGUGUUAAAGACGGGAGCUCAACUCCCGCAUGGCAUCGGAAACUGGAUGGCUAGAGUGUGAAAGAGGUAACUGGAAUUCCUAGUGUAGCGGUGAAAUGCGCAGAUAUUAGGAGGAACACCAAUUGCGAAGGCAGCUCGCUGGGACGUUACUGACGCUGAGACGCGAAAGCGUGGGGAGCAAACAGG